CAAUAGCGUAUAUUAAAGUUGUUGCAGUUAAAAAGCUCGUAGUUGGAUUUCUGGUGGGAGCGCUCGGUCUGGCGCUUAGCGCGAGUACUUGCAUCGUCUCCGGCCAUCCUUGGGGAGAGUCUGUCUGGCAUUAGGUUGUCGGGCAGAGGAUCCUCAUCGUUUACUGUGAAAAAAUUAGAGUGUUCAAAGCAGGCUUAUGCCGUUGAAUAUAUUAGCAUGGAAUAAUAAGAUAGGACUUUGGUACUAUUUUGUUGGUUUGCGCACCAAAGUAAUGAUUAAUAGGGACAGUUGGGGGUAUUCGUAUUCCGUUGUCAGAGGUGAAAUUCUUGGAUUUACGGAAGACGAACUACUGCGAAAGCAUUUACCAAGGAUGUUUUCAUUAA
rnacentral:rRNA from 1 species